rnacentral:lncRNA from 1 species
CUUUCUUCCUCUUGCACACAAUGUGAAAUGAGUUCAUUAAGAGUCCAUUUCUCCUUUAGGCAGUUGUAACUGACCUUAAACUGAUUAAAUUGUGCAGGGGGAGAGAUCAAAACUAAGUACACAAGCAGUUUAGUUUCGAAGGUAAUUCCAACUUGAGCGACUUUAGUUUCGAAGCAAUAUGGGACAUUUCUAAAAUGUACUCCCUUAUGUUUCCUUUGCCUUUAUACCUCAUGGAAACAAGUUUAN